AUCGGCAGGAGAUUUAGGAUGGAAAAAAGGAAGUACUUCUGGACAUUAGCACAUGUCCAUUUCAAUGAGGGAGCACAUUCCAGAGCCCAGGAGCAGAUACAGAGAAGGCCCAUCCUGAGACGGACAUCUUCUGAUGACCUUAAAGUGCAGUGGGGAUCAUACUGAAGAAGUCGCUCUCCCAGAGCAACUAUCCCUGAGGGACACCAUCUGAAAUCUGCCUGAGAGAUAGCGACAGAACUACUGCAAAGCAGUACCUCCUUUCUCCAAAUCCCUCGGAUGAUUCAGAAGGAUAUCAUGGUCUAUGCCCUUUAGACACCACCACCUGAAUGAUCUAUAUGCCCAGCAAUCUCCAAAACUAAAGGAAUAAACUUAUAUAUAAUCAAGAUUAAUAUCAACAUUCAGAUUCCAUCAAGGAACAGUCUGCCUUAUUAAUGGUUUGAGUCUCUGCUCUGUGUCCCUGGCAUAUUAACUCUGUGGGUGUCCAAAAUAUAUACCUUCUUUGUGAGCUGUUCUGUACUGGAUGAAGGCCUCUGUGGUGUGGUUCUGUUGUAUUCUGGUUGAUUUAUAUAGUCUGCUAGGCUGUACCUUUGUACAUUUUUUUGGUUGGGUUUACUAUGAAUGUUUUAUGGUGGAAAAGUGGGAUAUACAUAUUUUAAAAACAGAAUAAACAUAAAUAACAAAAACAGA